GGUGCUAGUGCUUAGUUGGUCAAAGUGCCUGUCUAGUAAACAGGAGAUCCUGGGUUCAAAUCCCAGCAGUGCCU
rnacentral:tRNA from 1 species